AAAGAAUCUAUUACUGAUCAAUUAAAAAUCUCUUAUUUUUAGAAUCUGCUAGAACUCAAUCAAAGAACAAGAACUAAAGAGAUUGCUACCCAAAUCUCAUACGAGUAUUCAUCUCAAGUUCUUCAAAAUAGAAAAGGUGAAGCACUUCAAACUCCAACCUCUGUUUAUUCAAUCCCUCCGUUGGUUCAAGUUGAUGAAAGAUUUGUUAAUUCUCUUACUGAUCAGGUUUUCAUUAAUGGAUAUUGUGGGUAUUGUUAUAAAGGAACCUUCAUCCUUGAUGACAACUUAUGUUAUAGAUAGGCAUGCUUCCAAUGGUAAGGGCAAGGUGGUUAUGGAAUUCAAAUUCCAUAAUAUCAUGUAUCAAGAAAAGAAUAUGGCUCAGUUCUUUUGUGUUUAUUCUGGUGUUCACAAGGGUUUUAUUUAUGUUGAUGGCCUUCAAUAUCCCACUUUCUGUUGGAAUACUGUGAUACAAUGAUUAAAAAGCAUAAGUAACACAUCGCUUUGAAGUUGGUGAUUCUUCUUUUAUGGAUCUUUUAAGCCACAUCAUCGUAGAUGAUUAUGUCAAUAGAAUAGUAUGUUUUGCUUAUUAUACUUUUACGGGGGUGUAUUCGAUUGGGAUUUUAAUGCAUUGUUUUUAGUCUAUGGAUUUUAAUGGAUUGUAUGUGAUUUUGAUUUUGUGCAGAUUCUUGAUGAAAUGUCGUAGAGUUGAUAGGAUUUAGGUACAAUGCUUCAAAAUCCUAUUGAAUUUGGUGAGAUUUCAAAAAACUUAAAAUACACUGAAGAAUGCCACAAAAUCCAUCAUUUUAUGAAAUGAAAAAAAAUCCAUCAGCAUUUGAAUACCAUCAGAUUUUAAACAAUCCCAAUUGAAUACCAUCGGAUUUUAAAGCAUAAUUUAAAAUCCCAAUUGAAUACCACCAGAUUUUGUGGUAUAAUUUAAAAUCCCAAUUGAAUACCUCA